rnacentral:rRNA from 1 species
GACGAACGCUGGCGGCGUGCUUAACACAUGCAAGUCGAACGGAAAGGCCCUUUUGGGGUUACUUGAGUGGCGAACGGGGGAGUAACACGUGAGUAACCUGCCCUUGCUUUCGUGUUAACUUCAGGAAACUGGGGCUAAUUCCGGAUAGGAAUCAUUGCUGCAUGGUGGGGGUUGGAAAGCUUCUGCGGUGUUGGGUGGACUCGCGGGCUAUCAGCGUGUUGGUGGGGUAGUGGGUUACCAACGCUUUGACGGGUAGCGGGCCUGGGGGGGUGACCGGCCACAUUGGGGCUGAGGGUCGGCCCAAGCUCCUACGGGGGGCAAAAGUGGGGAAGAUUGCACAAUGGGCAGCAGCCUGGUGCAGCAAGGCCGCGGGCGGGAAGGCGGCCUUGUGGUUGUAAAACAGUUUCAGCAGGGGCGAAGGUUGUGGUGACGGUACCUGCAGAAGAAGCACCGGCUAACUACGUG